GACGAACGCUGGCGGCGUGCCUAACACAUGCAAGUCGAGCGAGUGAAUCUCCUUCGGGAGUGAAGCUAGCGGCGGACGGGUGAGUAACACGUGGGCAACCUGCCUCAUAGAGGGGAAUAGCCUUUCGAAAGGAAGAUUAAUACAGCAUAAGAUUGUAGCUUCGCAUGAAGUAGCAAUUAAAGGAGCAAUCCGCUAUGAGAUGGGCCCGCGGCGCAUUAGCUAGUUGGUGAGGUAACGGCUCACCAAGGCGAAGAUGCGUAGCCGACCUGAGAGGGUGAUCGGCCACAUUGGGACUGAGACACGGCCCAGACUCCUACGGGAGGCAGCAGUGGGGAAUAUUGCACAAUGGGGGAAACCCUGAUGCAGCAACGCCGCGUGAGUGAUGACGGCCUUCGGGUUGUAAAGCUCUGUCUUCAGGGACGAUAAUGACGGUACCUGAGGAGGAAGCCACGGCUAACUACGUGCCAGCCGCCGCCGUAA
rnacentral:rRNA from 1 species